AGAUGGCGACCGGCGCACGGGUGAGUAACACGUAUCCAACCUGCCGAUAACUCGGGGAUAGCCUUUCGAAAGAAAGAUUAAUACCCGAUGGUAUAAUCAGACCGCAUGGCCUUGUUAUUAAAGAAUUUCGGUUAUCGAUGGGGAUGCGUUCCAUUAGGCAGUUGGUGAGGUAACGGCUCACCAAACCUUCGAUGGAUAGGGGUUCUGAGAGGAAGGUCCCCCACAUUGGAACUGAGACACGGUCCAA
rnacentral:rRNA from 1 species